rnacentral:rRNA from 1 species
UACGGGGGGGGCAAGCGUUGUUCGGAAUUACUGGGCGUAAAGGGCGCGUAGGCGGGCGGACAAGUCUCUCGUGAAAUCCCACGGCUCAACCGUGGAACUGCGGGAGAUACUGUCUGUCUUGAGUCCGGGAGAGGAGGGUGGAAUUCCCAGUGUAGCGGUGAAAUGCGUAGAUAUUGGGAGGAACACCGGUGGCGAAGGCGGCUCUCUGGACCGGUACUGACGCUGAGGCGCGAAAGCUAGGGGAGCAAAC